AUCCUCCACUCCUCAGAUCGACAUGUUGGUCUGAUUGACUGAAAAGGGAGGGAAAGUAAAACAGAAGUGAACUUGGAUUCCUUAGUGACAUACAAAUUCAUUUCAAACACAU
rnacentral:snoRNA from 1 species